AUGAUGAACCUGACUAGGAUCCAUGAGGACGAGGGUUCAAUCCCUGGCUGCGCCCAGUGGGUUAAAGGAUCUGGCGUUGCCGUGAGCUGUGGUGUAGGUCACAGACGAGGCUUGGAUCCUGUGUGGCUAUGGCUGUGGAGAAGGCCGGUGGCGACAGCUCCAAUUCGACCUCAUGCCAUGGGUGAGGCCCUACAAAAACAAACAAAAUCCCACCGGAAAACAAAAACCAUAGGCCCUGGAGUUCCCAUGGUGGCUCAGCGGUAAUCAAACCCACAUCCUCACAGAGACAGCGUGGACUCCUUAAACUACUGAGCAGCAACUUGAACUCCUGGUUUUUAUGAGUCACACAAUUUGCUCCUAGGAAAGACAUAUUUUUGUAUAGGUUGUUGUCAUCAGUUUUCUAGCCUGACUUUAUUAAAACUGUAUGUGGUGUUUGUCUAGGUUUUCGAGAAAUUGAGAGGUGAGAAGUUUUAAGAGAAUCCUCUUUCUGAAUUAGGUUUUCAUUAUUAAAACAAAAACAAAACUGAGUUACUUCAGCCUAUCAGAUAUAUCAGGCCCCGGCCCCUGGCACAUGCUGGGUGCUCUGCCUCAUUUAAUCAGCUUUGUCUUGUACUCAGAGAUACCCUAGUUUUCAUUUAGUUUGCAAUCAAGAAUGAUUUUACUGUUACUUUAUCUUUUAAAAAAUGAUUAUACACAUAUUAUCCAAACCUUUCAAUUGGGUUCAGAGAUAAAACUGUUUACUUUUUUUGUUUUCCUUUCUUUAUCUUGCAUCCAAACAGAAACUUACAUGAGUUGAUAAUCUUUCCUCUUCUAGUGUGCUGUGGAGAAGUCAGUAGCUGUUAUACUUCUUGGCAAUCACAAAAAUAAUUAGUUAACAGAUUUUAACUUGUACAUCUAUGGUAACCAAUUACAUCAAGGUGUGUAAAGAAAAGAGACUAUAUCCAAUGAGACUUUGAGGGUUAGAAGUGCAAUUACUUAGUUGAGAAGAUUUGCUUUCCUCAUAGAUUAGAGAGGCUGACUACUCCAGGAUUGCAACAGUGUCUUGCCAGUGCUCAGUGAAACUUUGUAGAAAAUGCUAGUGAAAAUCUCAUUGCAAUGUAUAUAGUUAGAACCCCUCACUCCCAAAGAGAAAUAUUCCUUCUGUUUAACUCUCCUUCGAUACUUAUCCUUAGAGGAUAAUAAAUUUUCAUACUUUCAGAUGUCA
rnacentral:lncRNA from 1 species